AAUUGUGCAAGGCCUGUAACGUUUGUUCCAAAGGGUCCCAUACUGACCUUGUUAUCAGACUAAGGGAGGAGAUGAAAACGAGACAGACAUAUGACAAAGUAUUUCAGAAGAUCUGGGGCGCUUCUGGUGGAUGGUCAGUCAUUGUGUGUCCACAUGGAAUUGUGUACAGCUUAAAAUUCAACCUUAGAGCAGAGAGUCCAAGGGACUUUGCAGAUUUGCUUCUUUCCUGGAAGCACUUUCCAAAUGUGUGUGUAUAUGAUUUUUCCCGUGGGCUAGCUACACAUACUAACUUGAGGGCACCAGCCAUCUUGCCUUUUCAUCCAUUUGAAGGAAGACUGGCACAGCCUACUGUGGAGAACAUUCAGUCAGCUGAGAUGAAAAAACUUCAGGUGUCACUUCCAUGGCUUAUAGAGAGUUUUGAGUACCCUGAGCCUAAUGGCCACCCAGUUACUGGUUCCUCAGAACACUAUGUACUCUAUGACAAGUUUCAUGAGAAAAACACUAAGGACUCAAAAGAUGCGCUGCGAAGAAUUGACCUGGUUCCAAAACUCCGUUGGACAUUGAACAGUCAGGUUGCAGAACAGUUGUUUUCAGCUAUGCGGAAAAACAACUACUUCUUGAAUAAUAUGUCUCCGUCCACACAUGUGUUUGCAAUGAGGAAUAUCAUCCAUCACCGGAAUACCGCAACAAAUUCAAAACUCUUACAACAGUUGUUACAUCGUGGUGAGAGACCCCAAGAUAUCUGCAACAUUUCACUGUCUAACCUUGGCCAAGCUGUCAUAGGUUCUGAAUCUUUGGCUAGUACUGACUCUGCCAGGACACUAAGCCCAAAAUCUACAAGUCUACGGUCUACACAAAUUAAAGAACAGAGACUUCUGGCUUUUAGUGACAUGGGUAUGCUUUUAAGAUACUUUGCAUUUAAGUGCUUUGACAUGACAAUUCUAACUGCUGUCAUACAACUCUAAUUUAGACUUUGACAUGUGUGGACCACGUUGUGAAGAGCAAACAAAACUGGAAAAUGUAUCAGCAUCCUCUGCAUCAUGGGAGAUGCAGUAUCACCUUGGCCAACAAUUGCUGCUUGAUUAUGUCUUGGACAUUGAAAGACCUCAACAAGAGUUGAUUGUUAGAACUGCAAGAGCGUGUCUGAGCCGGGCUGACUUUUUAACCUUGGGCCUAGACAGAGAAAUUGAAUCAACCGUAAGUAACUAUUUACUGUACUC